rnacentral:tRNA from 1 species
AACAUCUCCUUGCCAAGGAGAAGAUACGGGUUCGAUUCCCGCCGCUCGCC